rnacentral:rRNA from 1 species
CCGUGUUUAUUAUACCUUGUUGCUUCGGCGGGCCCGCCGUAUGGCCGCCGGGGGGCUUCUGCCCCCGGGCCCGCGCCCGCCCAACACAUCUCGAACUCUGUCUGAAGAUUGUAGUCUGAGUAAAAAUAUUAAUUAUUUAAAACUUUCAACAACGGAUCUCUUGGUUCCGGCGUCGAUGAAGAACGCAGCGAAGUACGAUACGUAAUGUGGAUUGCAGAAUUCAUGGAAUCAUCGAGUCUUUGAACGCACAUUGCGCCCUCUGGUAUUCCGGACGGCAUGCCUGUCCGAGCGUCAUUGCUGCCCUCAAGCACGGCUUGUGUGUUGGGCUCCGUCCUCCGAUCCCGGGGGACGGGCCCGAACAGUAGCGGCGGCACUGCGUCCGGUCCUCGACCGUAUGGAGCUUUGUCACCCGCUCUGUAGGCCCGGACGGCGCUUGCCGAUCACCAAAUUUUGCUCAGGUUGACCUCGGAUCAAGUAGGGAUACCCGCUGAAGUAAAGCAUAUCCCUAAGCGGAAGA